GCAACAUGCAGGUGCUUUGGUUCCCGCGAGUCACCUCGCGGGCUAAGAGGGAAGCCGGUGAAGAUCCGGCACUGCCCCCGCAACUGUAAGUGGCAAGCCCCGGUCCGAUCCACUGGUGUCAGCGCACACCGGGAAGGCGGACGACGGGGCGUUCGAGCCGCAAGUCAGGAGACCUGCCAGGGCAUGAACGACGAC
rnacentral:ncRNA from 2 species